UUAAAUCAGCUAUGGUUCCUUUGAUCGUACAUACUACAAGGAUAACUGUAGUAAUUCUAGAGCUAAUACAUGCAACUAUGCCCUGACCCGCAAGGGAACGGGUGCAUUUAUUAGAACAGAACCAACCGGUGGUGGCUUCGGUCGCUGCCGUUGCAUUCUGUGAUGACUCUGGAUAACUUUACUGAUCGCAGUCGGCCUUGUGCCGGCGACGGAUCAUUCAAAUGUCUGCCCUAUCAAUUUUCGAUGGUAGGUGACCUGCCUACCAUGGUAAUAACGGGUAACGGGGAAUCAGGGUUCGAUUCCGGAGAGGGAGCCUGAGAAACGGCUACCACUUCCAAGGAAGGCAGCAGGCGCGCAAAUUACCCAAUCCCGGCACGGGGAGGUAGUGACGAAAAAUACGGAUACGGGACUCUUUCGAGGCUCCGUAAUUCGAAUGAGUACACUUUAAAUCCUUUAACGAGGAUCAACUGGAGGGCAAGUCUGGUGCCAGCAGCCGCGGUAACUCCAGCUCCAGAAGCGUAUAUUAAAGUUGUUGCAGUUAAAAAGCUCGUAGUUGGAUCUGGGUCGCACAGCUACACGCCGCUGCUCGUAAUCUUGUCUUGGUUAACACCGGGACUGGUUUAUGAGUCGGUGUGGUAGUUGUGUAACCUUUCUGCCGUGUCUGUUUUCACAGGUGUUGGCAUGAUUGGUGAGUUUUCUUGCUGAUCUGUCAGCAUGCUUUCAGAUGCCCUUAACCGGGUGUCGGAGGCGGACGGCACGUUUACUUUGAACAAAUUUGAGUGCUCAAAGCAGGCCCUUGUGCCUGAAAAUUCUUGCAUGGAAUAAUGAAA
rnacentral:rRNA from 1 species